rnacentral:rRNA from 1 species
GACGGAGGUGGCAAGCGUUGUUCGGAAUCACUGGGCGUAAAGCGCGUGUAGGCGGUUUGAUAAGUCGAAUGUGAAAGCCCGAGGCGCAACCUCGGAAGUGCAUUCGAAACUGUCAGGCUUGAGUACGGGAGAGGGAAGUGGAAUUCCUGGUGUAGAGGUGAAAUUCGUAGAUAUCAGGAGGAACACCGGUGGCGAAGGCGGCUUCCUGGACCGAUACUGACGCUGAGACGCGAAAGCGUGGGGAGCAAACAGG